AACGAACGCUGGCGGCAUGCCUAACACAUGCAAGUCGAACGAGACCUUCGGGUCUCGUGGCGCACGUGUGCGUACCGCGUGGGAACCUGCCCUUAGGUUCGGAAUAACUCCCCGAAAGGGGUGCUAAUACCGGAUAAUGUCUUCGGACCAAAGAUUUAUCGCCUUUGGAUGGGCCGGCGUUGGAUUAGCUAGUUGGUAGGGUAAAAGCCUACCAAGGCGACGAUCCAUAGCUGGUCUGAGAGGAUGAGCAGCCACACUGGGACUGAGACACGGCCCAGACUCCUACGGGAGGCAGCAGUGGGGAAUAUUGGACAAGGGGCGAAAGCCUGAUCCAGCAAUGCCGCGUGAGUGAUGAAGGCCUUAGGGUUGUAAAGCUCUUUUACCCGGGAUGAUAAUGACAGUACCGGGAGAAUAAGCUCCGGCUAACUCCGUG
rnacentral:rRNA from 1 species